ensembl:lncRNA
UAGGCCCAGUGCUCUGCAACAAACACCCAGGGCAGCCAUAAAGAAGAAACCAGUGCUUGGUGUCAGAAAGGUUGAGGACCUCUGCGUCCAAGCUGUCUGAGUGGAGAAGCUCUGCCCUCUGCCGCACGAUGGCCCAGCUGCCUCUGAACUGGAGCUCUGGGACCAGGUGCAGCAAUGUUGGGGCCUUCGGUCCCUGGACACACGGACCUCACUGGAGACUCCUGACUGCCAGGUGGGUCCAUCCCCUCUGCCGGAAGCAGC